GAAUUUAGUUGGAAAGUUCAGGUUCAGAAUGGUAUAGCUAUGGGAAGUAAAAUAAGUACAAGAAGCAGGGUUUUGGGGACUGUUUGUAGGAGUGAAUUACUCAAAGUGAAGAUUAGAAUAGUUUAGAUUGCACACGUAAACAUCCGUAGGCAUCAUAACCAAGAGUAGAGUUGUAUCAACAACUCAAGAGACAAAAGUGCAAGAAUUCUUACUCAUAAAAAAACUGAGUAACAACAGUACAAACUUGGGUAUUUAUAUACUCAAAAAGUUAAUCCUUGUCCGUUAAGGAUUUGGUCUCUAAAACUAAACCUUAUGUAAUCUAAAUUAAAGACACUUAUAAAAAUCUAGAACUUUCUGUGUAAUCUGAAAUUACAAAAAUACCCGUCUUCUAGAAAGUCAAAAU
rnacentral:misc_RNA from 1 species